UUCCUGUAAUUAAACAACAGGAUCAUGUGACCAGGUUUAACUUUGUACAAUAGGUCGCCAUUUUUUAUGAAAGUAAACAACAAAAACCCCUUUUUUAUCAUUAAAAAAUAGGGUAG
rfam:Brenneria goodwinii strain OBR1 genome assembly, contig: Contig